AGUGGUUGAUGAAAGCGAUGUUGUAAAGCGUCAUUGAACAGAGCAGAGGGUGGAGGAGCGAACAGGAGCUGUUUCCGCUCUUAAAGGGAUGAUCCCAGUGGAGUAACCUAGAGUAAAGUGUCUUGCUCAAGGACACACUGGUGGUGACGGCUGCGGCGAUCGAACCAGAAACCUUCAGCUGACCAGCUCAGCAGUUUAACCCACUACACCACAAAAUCAUGCUGAUGGAGAGCAGGCACACAAAUGUUUGGAGCAGAAACAGCAGCAGCCAGAUUGUCCCGCACAUCUUCUCCCACUCUUGCUUCAAGGUUGUGGGGUGCAGGGGUCCAUCAUCAUGGUCUUCCUCAUCCUCUGGAUCAACGAUGUCCCUAUUGAGAAGAGCAGCAGUGAGGGACAUGAUGGAUGACAAAGACAGGUGAAGGUGUUCACGGUGGUCAGCUGCAGAAUUGGCACAGCUGUGUUGAGAUGGCAGUAGGAUGUGGGGAUCACCGCCCGCAAAUAUGUCAUUGUUAGAACAAUAAAUUUGAAUAAAGCUUUGUUUCAUGUG